rnacentral:rRNA from 1 species
GAUUAAGUUAUUAAGGGCGCACGGUGGAUGCCUUGGCACUAGAAGCCGACGAAGGACGUUACUAACGACGAUAUGCUUUGGGUAGCUGUAAGUAAGCGUUGAUCCAGAGAUUUCCGAAUGGGGGAACCCAGCACGAGUUAUGUUGUGUUAUCGACAAGUGAAUUCAUAGCUUGUCAGAAGGCAGACCCGGAGAACUGAAACAUCUUAGUACCCGGAGGAAGAGAAAGAAAAAUCGAUUCCCUGAGUAGCGGCGAGCGAAACGGGAAGAGCCCAAACCAAUAAGCUUGCUUAUUGGGGUUGUAGGACACUCUAUACGGAGUUACAAAGGAAUAUAUUAGACGAAUCAUCUGGAAAGUUGAAUCAAAGAAGGUAAUAAUCCUGUAGUUGAAAAUAUAUUCUCUCUUGAGUGGAUCCUGAGUACGACGGAGCACGUGAAAUUCCGUCGGAAUCUGGGAGGACCAUCUCCUAAGGCUAAAUACUCUCUAGUGACCGAUAGUGAACCAGUACCGUGAGGGAAAGGUGAAAAGUACCCCGGAAGGGGAGUGAAAGAGAACUUGAAACCGUGUGCUUACAAGUAGUCAGAGCCCGUUAAUGGGUGAUGGCGUGCCUUUUGUAGAAUGAACCGGCGAGUUACGAUCUGAUGCAAGGUUAAGCAGGAGAUGUGGAGCCGUAGCGAAAGCGAGUCUGAAUAGGGCGUUGAGUAUUUGGUCGUAGACCCGAAACCAGGUGAUCUACCCAUGGUCAGGUUGAAGUUCAGGUAACACUGAAUGGAGGACCGAACCGACUUACGUUGAAAAGUGAGCGGAUGAACUGUGGGUAGCGGAGAAAUUCCAAUCGAACUUGGAGAUAGCUGGUUCUCUCCGAAAUAGCUUUAGGGCUAGCCUCAAGUGAUGAUUAUUGGAGGUAGAGCACUGUUUGGACGAGGGGCCCCUCUCGGGUUACCGAAUUCAGACAAACUCCGAAUGCCAAUUAAUUUAACUUGGGAGUCAGAACAUGGGUGAUAAGGUCCGUGUUCGAAAGGGAAACAGCCCAGACCACCAGCUAAGGUCCCAAAAUAUAUGUUAAGUGGAAAAGGAUGUGGCGUUGCCCAGACAACUAGGAUGUUGGCUUAGAAGCAGCCAUCAUUUAAAGAGUGCGUAAUAGCUCACUAGUCGAGUGACACUGCGCCGAAAAUGUACCGGGGCUAAACAUAUUACCGAAGCUGUGGAUUGUCCGUAGGACAAUGGUAGGAGAGCGUUCUAAGGGCGUUGAAGCAUGAUCGCAAGGACAUGUGGAGCGCUUAGAAGUGAGAAUGCCGGUGUGAGUAGCGAAAGACGGGUGAGAAUCCCGUCCACCGAUUGACUAAGGUUUCCAGAGGAAGGCUCGUCCGCUCUGGGUUAGUCGGGUCCUAAGCUGAGGCCGACAGGCGUAGGCGAUGGAUAACAGGUUGAUAUUCCUGUACCACCUAGCAUCGUUUUAAUCGAUGGGGGGACGCAGUAGGAUAGGCGAAGCGUACGAUUGGAUUGUACGUCAAGCNNNNNNNNNNNNNNNNNNNNNNNNNNNNNNNNNNNNNNNNNNNNNNNNNNNNNNNNNNNNNNNNNNNNNNNNNNNNNNNNNNNNNNNNNNNNNNNGGUUAGCUUCUGCGAAGCUACGAAUCGAAGCCCCAGUAAACGGCGGCCGUAACUAUAACGGUCCUAAGGUAGCGAAAUUCCUUGUCGGGUAAGUUCCGACCCGCACGAAAGGCGUAACGAUUUGGGCACUGUCUCAACGAGAGACUCGGUGAAAUCAUAGUACCUGUGAAGAUGCAGGUUACCCGCGACAGGACGGAAAGACCCCGUGGAGCUUUACUGUAGCCUGAUAUUGAAAUUCGGCACAGCUUGUACAGGAUAGGUAGGAGCCUUUGAAACGUGAGCGCUAGCUUACGUGGAGGCGCUGGUGGGAUACUACCCUAGCUGUGUUGGCUUUCUAACCCGCACCACUUAUCGUGGUGGGAGACAGUGUCAGGCGGGCAGUUUGACUGGGGCGGUCGCCUCCUAAAAGGUAACGGAGGCGCUCAAAGGUUCCCUCAGAAUGGUUGGAAAUCAUUCAUAGAGUGUAAAGGCAUAAGGGAGCUUGACUGCGAGACCUACAAGUCGAGCAGGGUCGAAAGACGGACUUAGUGAUCCGGUGGUUCCGCAUGGAAGGGCCAUCGCUCAACGGAUAAAAGCUACCCCGGGGAUAACAGGCUUAUCUCCCCCAAGAGUUCACAUCGACGGGGAGGUUUGGCACCUCGAUGUCGGCUCAUCGCAUCCUGGGGCUGUAGUCGGUCCCAAGGGUUGGGCUGUUCGCCCAUUAAAGCGGUACGCGAGCUGGGUUCAGAACGUCGUGAGACAGUUCGGUCCCUAUCCGUCGUGGGCGUAGGAAAUUUGAGAGGAGCUGUCCUUAGUACGAGAGGACCGGGAUGGACAUACCUCUGGUGUACCAGUUGUCGUGCCAACGGCAUAGCUGGGUAGCUAUGUAUGGACGGGAUAAGUGCUGAAAGCAUCUAAGCAUGAAGCCCCCCUCAAGAUGAGAUUUCCCAACUUCGGUUAUAAGAUCCCUCAAAGAUGAUGAGGUUAAUAGGUUCGAGGUGGAAGCGUGGUGACACGUGGAGCUGACGAAUACUAAUCGAUCGAAGACUUAAUCAA